CCUACGGGAGGCAGCAGUGGGGAAUAUUGGGCAAUGGGCGCAAGCCUGACCCAGCAACGCCGCGUGAAGGAAGAAGGCUCUCGGGUUGUAAACUUCUUUUAUCAGGGACGAAGCAAGUGACGGUACCUGAUGAAUAAGCCACGGCUAACUACGUGCCAGCAGCCGCGGUAAUACGUAGGUGGCAAGCGUUAACCGGAUUUACUGGGAGUAAAGGGCGUGUAGGCGGGAAAGCAAGUCAGAUGUGAAAACCAUGGGCUCAACCUGUGGCCUGCAUUUGAAACUGUUUUUCUUGAGUACUGGAGAGGCAGACGGAAGUCCUAGUGUAGCGGUGAAAUGCGUAGAUAUUAGGAGGAACACCAGUGGCGAAGGCGGUCUGCUGGACAGCAACUGACGCUGAGGCGCAAAAGCGUGGGGAGCAAACAGGAUUAGAUACCCGAGUAGUC
rnacentral:rRNA from 1 species